ACCUCACCAACUGCCCCUAGACCCCAAUAAAACCUUUGUGCUUUUGAAACUCACUCUCUCUCCCUGGCAUCUCACCACUGCCUCCGUACAGUGACUGAAAGCAUCUCAUGGAUUUUGUUGUUAAAAGCAAUCAUACUUUCUGCAAGACUUGCUUCCUUCUCCACAUCUCUUUAAUUCCAAUUUUCUACAUCAGGUCUGAUACCAUCUGGAAUAGAGGAUGAAUUGAAUGCUGCGAACCUUUAAAUUAGCUUGAUAUUUCUAAAAACUAAGAGGAAAAGUUUUUACAUUCUUCAAGGUUGCAAGGUCAACCUCCUGAAAUCUCAACACUCUUUGGGAUUCUAUUUAAAUCUGUGUAGCCUGCAUUGCAAUUCUUUGAUCCCAACUACAUGCUUUAUCUCUGGAACUGAUUUCUUGUUUAUUGGCUGACAUCUUCAACUAUAACAGCAAUGUUAUUUCUGUGGCCAAACUGUUCUCCCAGAAUAUCUUCAGGGACCAAUCACUAUAAAAAGAACUAGAACUUUUUGUACAUUCACUGGAGUUGGCCAUCAUCACUUAAUUAUCAAACGCUCCAAAUGUCUCCUGAACAGCUCGUAACAUUCAACAAAAUCAAUGCUACCUUUAAGUUUUUAUAACCAAUAUGUCUUAUGCAAUUAAAAUUUUUGAAUGUGAAAGCUUCCUGUAACAUCUUAAUUGGACAAGAAAUUAAAAUGCGUGAUAAGUGAUAUGACACUUAUCAUGUUCACGUUAUUACAGUGAACUGUUAAGUACCCAAAAUAGAAAUAUCCCAAUAAAAUUUGUCCUAGGCAGUGGUCUGCAGUAAUGCCUGAGAAAGUAAGUGGGGAGGAAAAGACGCAGAAGUGUUAAAUACUAGAAAUAAGUGGAUGAACGGAUGAGCAUCGAGAAAGAGAAAGCAAUCCUCCAGAAGUGAGAAAUUCCACUAAUGGACGAGGGCAAAAUCAUUAACGACCACUUCAGCCUCUACGUAACUCAAAUUCAAAUAAAUAUUAAGUAAA